GUUGAAACACCAGUUCCAGUAGGAACUCCGAAGUUAAGCAAAGUCUAGCCGAGUCAGUACCUAGAUGGGUGACCGCUCUGGAAUACCAGGUUCUG